rnacentral:pre_miRNA from 1 species
AUUAAGUUUAUUUUUCAGUUUUUAGAUAUAAUGUUUUGACUCUUUGUAUUAUUUAAAAAAAUUUACGAUUAAUAUUUUUAUUGUUACUAGAGGGUAAAAUAUGAAUAGUACUUUAUGUGUGGCUAAGUUUUUUUAUAAAUUUUUCGAAUAAGACGAAUGGUCAAGCAUUAUACACAAAAAUC